AAAGAGGCCCAACCCCCGGCCUACCUCCGCACCUCCCAGGCUCUGGCCUGGCUUCCUCGCGCGUCAGCCGGGGCCAGCGCAGGCGCAGUCGCAGUGGUUAGUAACGGUUGCUCCAGCCGGCGUGCGGGUGAGGUGGCGGGCGACGGCCCCGUGCGCCGCUUCCUGGGUCUUAGCCCACGUGGGACAAUUGCCAGCAGCUUUUGCAGGUGCUGUUUACGACUGAGGAGAGAGAAAGAAUCCUCAAUGAGGCCCGAAAACUAGUUCCGGGCGCAGAUGGGAAUCCCACCACCAACCAGGCUCAGAUAGAUGCCUCCUUCCCCUUAACUCGGCCCAAGUGGGAUUUCAACACGACAGAAGAGGGUUCCAGAGGGCGCACGAGGACAUUUGGCUGCGCCUCCAUGCCAUCUACAAGGCCGGCCCAACCCCGACACCUCAUCAGUACAGGCCGGGAGACUGGGUCUACGUCAAGAGGCACCGCCAAGAGACCCUCGAGCCGUGCUGGGAGGGACCCUACAUCGUGGUGCUGACAACCCCCACUGCUCUCAAAGUAGACGGCAUUGCAACCUGGGUCCAUCACACCCACGUUUGGCCAGCGGACCCCUGCUCAAUCCGGAAGGACUUUGUCACGCAAUGGGCUGUCAAUCGAGACCAACACAACCUGCUCAAGUUCAAGCUACAGCGCAUUCGACCCACCUAAUAUUGGUAACUCUGUUAGCUCUGCUUGUCACUGCUCAUGCUGUUGAGAGUCCCCACGUCCCCCAAAACAUCACCUGGCAGAUCAUAGACACCAGCUCGGGGACAAUACUUAAUCAGACUUCCCAGAGCCACUCCAGGGACACUUGGUUCCCAGAACUUUGCAUAGACCUCCAAACUCUGCUCCCCUUGUCACCAUAUGCCCCCGGAUUCCAUGCACAGAACCUUUAUUUCUAUGUCUGCCCCAGCCACUCUCGCUCGAGCACAUGUGGGGACGCGGCUGACUACUUUUGCGCCUCCUGGUCAUGUGUCUCAACAGGGCACAUCUGGUGGACCCCACCACGCACCGGAGAUCUCAUCGUGGUAAAGCGGCCCAGUGGCCCCCGACCGCCAUAUGCCUGGGGGCGCGGUAAUCCCAUAGUUAUAUCCUUUACAAGCCAAGGUAAAAAAACAACAGGAUGGGAGAGUGGAAAAACCUGGGGACUCAGGAUAUACGACUGGGUUAGGCUGGGAGCCAAGGACAAGGGAACGUUAUUUACCCUCCGAAUGCAAGCAACUCCCCUUGCCCAGCAGUCCCCCACGGCGGUAGGACCCAACUAGUUACCUGACCUGCCCCCGCCCGGAUGGCCACGCCCAGAAACACCCAGGCCCCGGCCACACGGCCCUCCACAUCCCCUGUCCCUACUGGAGUGUCAUCCGCAUCUCCUGCCCCGGGUCACAACUUACUAUCUGAUACAGACCCCCUGUGGAGCACGGUUGUCAGAGCAUACCAGGUACUAAACACUUCUAGGCCCGACCUGACCAAGUCCUGUUGGCUCUGUCUAGAUGUCCGGCUCCCAUAUUACGAAGGUAUUGCCAUUAAAGGCAAUUAUACAACAGCCUCCAACUCUAGCUCCUGCAGAUGGCAGCAGGCUACUGCAAGACUAACCCUCCAGGCA